CCCUUAGACGCUCUAGGCGGCACGCGCGCUACAAUGGGUGGUAGAACAUGUAACUGCUCCCGAAAGGGAGGGUGAACCACGAAUACUUACCCGUGAAUGGGAUAGUUUGUUGCAAUUUUCGGACUUGAACUAGGAAUCCCUUGUAAGAAUGCUCAAGAAUAGCGUGCUGAAUACGUCCCUGCCGUUUGUACACACCGCCCGUCGUUUCUUCCGACUGAUACUCAUUGUGAGUUGCAAGGAUUCUUAUUGAAAAAUUGCUGCGAAUGCUUUGUAUUGGAGGAAGAAAAAGUCGUAACA
rnacentral:rRNA from 1 species